UAGGGAAUCUUCCGCAAUGGACGCAAGUCUGACGGAGCAACGCCGCGUGAGUGAAGAAGGAUUUCGGUUCGUAAAACUCUGUUGUUAGAGAAGAACAGCGCAUAGAGUAACUGUUAUGCGUGUGACGGUAUCUAACCAGAAAGCCACGGCUAACUACGUGCCAGCAGCCGCGGUAAUACGUAGGUGGCAAGCGUUGUCCGGAUUUAUUGGGCGUAAAGCGAGCGCAGGCGGUCAAUUAAGUCUGAUGUGAAAGCCCCCGGCUCAACCGGGGAGGGUCAUUGGAAACUGGUUGACUUGAGUGCAGAAGAGGAGAGUGAAAUUCCAUGUGUAGCGGUGAAAUGCGUAGAUAUAUGGAGGAACACCAGUGGCGAAGGCUACUCUCUGGUCUGUAACUGACGCUGAGGCUCGAAAGCGUGGGUAGCAAACAGG
rnacentral:rRNA from 1 species